GGGUUCAGAGACUUAAAGGUUUCUGGAGGAUUUUUGAUGGUCGGGCCGCCAUCU
rnacentral:ncRNA from 1 species